AAAGAGAAAGGCUAAUAUUUUCUUCCUACCCACACUGUAAUGACUUACCUUUGUAGUCUCAGUUUGUGGGUACUCACUUUGUAGUCUCAGUUUGUGGGUACCCACUUUGGAGGACACCAAAUAAGGAAUAUCGACAGACCUACCAACGGUUGAAGAAAACUUCUGAUGUGACAGAAGCAAACAGGACUUCACCCUCAAAGACAUUUUCUGGAAAAGCGUGGACUGCUGCUACCCUGGAUGGAGACUCCUUCUAGGGGAGUGUCUGAAUAGCAUUCGUCUGCCUCUAAUUAUUCUGGGUCACCAUGUCAGCUCUUUCCAAGGGUGUUGAAAUCUGCCGAGAUUUAUUUUGAUGAAGAUAAGUUGUCGGGAGGAGGAGCCAAGAUGGCCGAAUAGGAACAGCUCCGGUCUACAGCUCCCAGCGUGAGCGACACAGAAGACGGGUGAUUUCUGCAUUUCCAUCUGAGGUACCGGGUGCAUCUCACUAGGGAGUGCCAGACAGUGGGCGCAGGCCAGUGGGUGUGCGCACCGUGC
rnacentral:lncRNA from 1 species